rnacentral:rRNA from 1 species
AGGCCACUGCUAUCGGAGUUCGAUUAAGCCAUGCGAGUCGAGAGGUGCAAGACCUCGGCAUACUGCUCAGUAACACGUGGACAACCUACCCUAUGGAGGGGGAUAACCCCGGGAAACUGGGGAUAAUACCCCAUAGACUAUGAAUGCUGGAAUGCUUUGUAGUUGAAAGGUCCGCCGCCAUAGGAUGGGUCUGCGGCCGAUUAGGUUGUUGUUGGGGUAACGGCCCAACAAGCCUGUAAUCGGUACGGGUUGUGGGAGCAAGAGCCCGGAGAUGGAUUCUGAGACACGAAUCCAGGCCCUACGGGGCGCAGCAGGCGCGAAAACUUUACAAUGCGGGAAACCGUGAUAAGGGAACUCCGAGUGCCCGUAAAAUCGGGCUGUCCAUCUGUUUAAAUAACAGGUGAAGAAAGGGCCGGGCAAGACCGGUGCCAGCCGCCGCGGUAAUACCGGCGGCUCGAGUGGUGGCCACUAUUACUGGGCUUAAAGCGUUCGUAGCUGGUCUGUUAAGUCUCUGGGGAAAUCUACUGGCUUAACCAAUAGGCGUCUCAGGGAUACUGGCAGACUAGGGACCGGGAGAGGUGAGAGGUACUCCAGGGGUAGGAGUGAAAUCCUGUAAUCCUUGGGGGACCACCUGUGGCGAAGGCGUCUCACCAGAACGGCUCCGACAGUGAGGGACGAAAGCUGGGGGAGCAAACCGGAUUAGAUACCCGGGUAGUCCCAGCUGUAAACGAUGCGCGUUAGGUGUAUCGGUGACCACGAGUCAUCGAGGUGCCGAAGAGAAAUCGUGAAACGUGCCGCCU